rnacentral:rRNA from 1 species
AUGGUGGCCCAUGGCGAUGUUCUUGGGCAGCGCGGCGCGCAUCUUGCUGGUCGGCGCCUCAAAGUCCGGGGUGACGAGCACGAAGCAGAGGCGGAGCGCCGGCGGGCAAGGCAGCGACACGAGGCAGAAGGGAUCGUAGCUCCGCACCAUCACGAACCCGCCGAGGAUGGCCGGCGCGAUGUUGUCGGCGUGGAAGCCGCUGACGGCCUUCUCGGACUCGAGGCCGGCGAGCACGAGGCCGUCGCGGGGGAGCAGGGAGCCGAAGAGCGCGUCGACGGCCUUGGCGGCGGCGGCGGCGGAGGCGGCCGAGGAGCCGAGCCCGGAGCCGAGCGGCAGGCCCUUGGCGAGGCUGAGGGAGACGCCGUGCGAGCGGACGCCGAGGGCCCGCAGCGCGGCGACGGCGGCGAUGCCCGCGCAGUUGCGGAGCGGGUCGCGGGAGAGGCGGUCGGCGAGGCGGGGGCGGGCCGGGGACGUGAUGCCGGAGAUGGCGACCGUGCCGGCGGGCAGCGAGGGGUCGAGGGUGGCCGUGACGGUGUCGCCGAGGGAGAGCGAGGCUUCGGCGACCGCGCAGCCCAGGAAGUCGAAGCCCGGGCCGAGGUUGGCCACCGUCGCCGGCGCGAACGCCGUGACGGACCGGAAGGCCGGGGCCGGGUCGGAUGGCGGCGCGGCGGUGGCUCUGAGCUUGGUCGAGACGCGGAAGGAGAGGAGAGUGGGCUUGUGGACGCGGGUGGAGGGGAAGGAGGAGGGCGCGGUGGCCGUCGCCGCCGCCGCCAUUGUGGGGGGUGGCUGGGCGUGGGUGGGUGGGGUGGGGUUUGGGGGAAAAGGUUUGACCUUUGCGGGCGCGCACGGGGCGGGGCGGGCUUGGGCUUUGGGUGGGAACACUACCUCCAAGAGCGGCUGACAGGUGUGGCCCGUCUCCACUAG